rnacentral:rRNA from 1 species
AGUGAACGCUGGCGGUAGGCCUAACACAUGCAAGUCGAACGGCAGCACAGUAAGAGCUUGCUCUUACGGGUGGCGAGUGGCGGACGGGUGAGGAAUACAUCGGAAUCUACUUUUUCGUGGGGGUUAACGUAGGGAAACUUACGCUAAUACCGCAUACGACCUACGGGUGAAAGCAGGGGAUCUUCGGACCUUGCGCGAUUGAAUGAGCCGAUGUCGGAUUAGCUAGUUGGCGGGGUAAAGGCCCACCAAGGCGACGAUCCGUAGCUGGUCUGAGAGGAUGAUCAGCCACACUGGAACUGAGACACGGUCCAGACUCCUACGGGAGGCAGCAGUGGGGAAUAUUGGACAAUGGGCGCAAGCCUGAUCCAGCCAUACCGCGUGGGUGAAGAAGGCCUUCGGGUUGUAAAGCCCUUUUGUUGGGAAAGAAAAGCAGCAGGUUAAUACCCCGCUGUUCUGGCGGUACCCAAAGAAUAAGCACCGGCUAACUUCG